UGGGGAAUCUUCCGCAAUGGGGCGCAAGCCUGACAGAGCAACGCCGCGUGAGUGAAGAAGGUCUUCGGAUCGUAAAGCUCUGUUGAGAGGGAAGAAAAUGACGGUACCUGACUAAGAAGCCCCGGCUAACUACGUGCCAGCAGCCGCGGUAAUACGUAGGGGGCAAGCGUUAUCCGGAUUUACUGGGUGUAAAGGGAGCGCAGGCGGUCCUGCAAGUCUGAUGUGAAAGCCCGGGGCUCAACCCCGGGACUGCAUUGGAAACUGUGGGACUUGAGUGUCGGAGGGGCAAGUGGAAUUCCUAGUGUAGCGGUGAAAUGCGUAGAUAUUAGGAGGAACACCAGUGGCGAAGGCGGCUUGCUGGACGACAACUGACGCUGAGGCUCGAAAGCGUGGGGAGCAAACAGGAUUAGAUACCCUGGUAGU
rnacentral:rRNA from 1 species